rnacentral:lncRNA from 1 species
GCGGGAGAUAAGGGGCCAGAGCUCCGACCCCAGGACUCUGGCCCCCUGGUGCACCUGCACAGCCCUUCGGACGCCGCGUGGGCAGGUCUUCCCAUAAACAUCUGGUGAUCCCUGGCUGCCUUAAGAUUUCUUCCAAGAUUCCCCAAGAGCUGGUGGGCAGACUCUAUGUGCACACAUGCGGCUGCUCCCCCAGGGUUCUCAAAGAUUUACUGAGAUAUAAUUCACAUACAAUAAAAUUCAUCCAUUCAAACCCACGCAACUACAGUCAUCUGAUUCUGGACAAAGGAGCCAAAAAUAUAUGUUGAAGAAAAGUCAGCGUCUUUAACAAACGAUGGUGGGAAAACUGGAUACCUACUUGUAGAGACUGAAACUGGAUUGCUAGCUCUCACCCUGUACAAAAUUCAAUUCAAAAUGGAUCAAAG